GAUGAACGCUAGCGGCAGGCCUAACACAUGCAAGUCGAGGGGCAGCAUAAAACAAGCUUGCUUGUUUGGUGGCGACCGGCGCACGGGUGCGUAACGCGUAUGCAACCUACCCUGUACUGGGGGAUAGCCCGGAGAAAUUCGGAUUAAGCCCCCAUAGUAUAAUUGAAUCGCAUGGUUUGAUUAUUAAAGGUUACGGUACAGGAUGGGCAUGCGUCCUAUUAGCUUGUUGGCGAGGUAACGGCUCACCAAGGCGACGAUAGGUAGGGGGCCUGGGAGGGUGGUCCCCCACACUGGUACUGAGACACGGACCAGACUCCUACGGGAGGCAGCAGUGAGGAAUAUUGGUCAAUGGGCGCAAGCCUGAACCAGCCAUGCCGCGUGCAGGAAGAAGGUCCUACGGAUUGUAAACUGCUUUUAUUUGGGAAUAAACCUCUUUACGUGUAGAGAGCUGAAGGUACCAAAUGAAUAAGCACCGGCUAACUCCGUGCCAGCAGCCGCCGUAACAC
rnacentral:rRNA from 1 species